UGGAAAACCAGCUGGAGUACAAUAAGAGGCGAGAAAGAGAACUGCACAGAAAGCAUGUCAUGGAACUUCGGCAACAGCCAAAAAACUUAAAGGCCAUGGAAAUGCAAAUUAAAAAACAGUUUCAGGACACUUGCAAAGUACAGACCAAACAGUAUAAAGCACUCAAGAAUCACCAGUUGGAAGUUACUCCAAAGAAUGAGCACAAAACAAUCUUAAAGACACUGAAAGAUGAGCAGACAAGAAAACUUGCCAUUUUGGCAGAGCAGUAUGAACAGAGUAUAAAUGAAAUGAUGGCCUCUCAAGCGGUAAGUGGUUAGGUUUGGUGCCACGGCUUCGAGAGCUUUGGGAAUCAAGAAAAUCCAAGAUCCAGCCUGUUGUUCCCAAGAUGAUUCUUGCACAAAUUUAGGAUAUUGAUGUUUUUCUGCCCAAAGGACUGAGGAAAGGACGACGUUGAAUAAAGCCAAGCCAAUGUGGAUACUUGCUGGAGUGUCUUAUAAGAUGGAACUCAAGGAGUGACAUGCCACAUCAGACCUGUGGCACAUAGGGACUUUGAGGGCAAAUGUGAUAGAUACCACAUAUGAUACCAUGUGUUCAUUUAUCAAAGAUUUUACUGACUGCCCUCCCCGCAACUAAUAUCAGGCACAAAUGAAUAAGACAGUCCCUGCCCUUAGGGAGCC
rnacentral:sRNA from 1 species